rnacentral:lncRNA from 1 species
AUGGUAAAUGCUGAAGUGUAUUCAGUCAUUGUGACCUCUGUAGCCAUUAUACAAAAUCCCAGAAUAUUUGUAUCUACACAAACACAAGAUAGUCUAUGUACAAAGAAAAUAUGCCCAAAUCUAUAUAUAUAUAAAAGAGUGAUGGCAUCACGGCGACCCACAAAACAACAAAACUACAGGCCCCCCCAACCUCGAAAUUUGACAACACAACCCAUCAUCCACGGCUCUAGGUUGAUACAACAAAAAGAAAAGAAAAAUAAAGUCCUAAUUACAGAGAGAGAAAUAAUUGCUUUUAUCCAAUUGCUGCCAGUUAAAAGGCUAAGCUCCUCCAACUUGGUCUCCUAGCAACCCAAUAAAAAAUAAUAAAAAACACUAAAAAUUAAUACAAUAAAAUACUAUAAUAACAGAAAAUAACUAAAAAUAAUACAAGAAAAUAAUAAAAUAUAAUAAAUAAAAAUACAACGUACAAUAAAAUUAAUAAAAAAUUGCAAAUAACGUCAAAUAAAAAUUACACAACAAUUUUUAACCCAUACCACCACCACUUUGCCACAGCAACGCGUGGCCGGGCACAGCUAGUAUUAUAUAUUUUAAUACCUGUUGAGACUUAUUGCAGUAAUCGACGCAUUUAUGAAGCUUGCAGCGUGUCCUUUUCAUAAAUGGAUGAUUAUGAGAGCAUUAUUUAAGAGCUGAAUGACUAGAAAUUGAAUGCAAACCAUUGAAAAAUAUUUAUUUAUUUAUUUAUUUAUUUACAACAUUUCUACCCUGCCCUUCUCACCCGAGGGGACUCAGGGCGGCUUACAACAACCAGCAAAAUUCAAUGCCAAACAGAUCAAUAAAACAGCAACACAUUUAAAACCAUUAACAACUAUUCAUAAAAUACAACACAUAAAAUACAUAAAAUACAUUAGUCAGCUAAAACAUAUAGUUACUUAAAUAUGCACAAAUGAUUUAAUCCACAGGGGAAUCUUCAUAGUAUUCCUGCAUUAGAAGGUGCACAGAUAAAGGCACGUGUUAUAGAAAAUGCAUUUGGAAUGUAUUGAGAUGUACCGUAUAUACAGUAGAGUCUCACUUAUCCAAGCCUCUGGAUUAUCCAAGCCAUUUUUGUAGUCAACGUUUUCAAUAUAUCAUGAUAUUUUGGUGCUAAAUUCAUAAAUACAGUAAUUACAACAUAACAUUACUGCGCAUCGAACUACUUUUUCUGUCAAAUUUGUUGUAUAACAUGACGUUUUGGUGCUUAAUUUGUAAAAUCAUGGUUUUACUCUAUGUAUGGGUAAGUGUGAACGUUUUGUAUGUUUCACAUGUUUUGAUAUGGUCAAAAUUGACUAAACAAUAGAGUUGUUGUUGUUGAAAAAAUAAUGCACUGGUUCCCAAUCCUUUGGGCCUCCAGAUGCUUUGGACUUCAACUC